rnacentral:pre_miRNA from 1 species
UUUAUACUCCCUCCAUCCGGAAAUACUUGUCGAAGAAAUGGAUAAAAAUAGACGUAUCUAAAACUAAAAUACAUCUAGAUACAUCCAUUUCUUUGACAAGUAUUUCCGGACGGAGGGAGUACUUG